rnacentral:rRNA from 1 species
UACAGAGGGGGCAAGCGUUAUUCGGAAUUAUUGGGCGUAAAGGGCGCGUAGGCGGCCUUUCAAGUGACGGGUGAAAUCCCUCGGCUUAACCGAGGAACUGCCUGUCAGACUGGGAGGCUUGAGACCGGGAGAGGUGAGUGGAAUUCCCAGUGUAGCGGUGAAAUGCGUAGAUAUUGGGAGGAACACCAGUGGCGAAGGCGGCUCACUGGACCGGAACUGACGCUGAGGCGCGAAAGCGUGGAGAGCAAACAGG